UCCACACUCACAAUCAUUCCAAAGGACAAUUUUAAAGUGAUCAAUUAAACUACCAAGCAUGUUUUUGGAAAGUGGGAGGAAAGCAAAAUACAGAAGGCCGGAGCCCAGAAUUAAAUCCAUGAGCUCUGCACUUCGAGGCGGAAGUGCUAACCCGUCGUUCAUCACUUUUAUGCAUCAUGAAAAUGUAACUGUAAAUGUCAGGUGCAGCUUUCAUUUUUGUCCACUCUUAAGCUUAAUUCUGCCCAACUGCCAACUCCAAUAAAUAUCCAUCUAGUUAAAAAUAAGAAUAGAGGAAGCAGACAUAACGCUGCACUUCCAGCAUUUAAA